rnacentral:lncRNA from 1 species
GUCCUCUCCCCGUCAUCACGCGCCCCCACUCGUCAUCCAUCCGCAGCUUUUCCAGUCCCGGCCGCCGGAGAGUCUCGCCGCUGGGAACAAGCACCUUGCAAUCGUGGUGUGCUUCUCCGUUGGUGCUGUCGUAUAGACAUCUUGCAAGUAAGUGACCUUCAAUCCAAAUGUUAUUUUUCUCUGCACUUGAUUUCAGUUGCUUUCUUACGGUCUCCUGAAUUACUUGGCAUGUGUCAGCCAUUCUGAAUAGGGAACGUUCUUACGGGACAUCAUGUUCACUUGGGAUACUUACUGGAUUAAGGAAGAAAUUUUGAAAUGCUUCUGAAACAAUAUCGUUUCAUUAGUUGAGGACUUUGGAUAGUUCAGCAUGUUCGAUUGAGCAUAAUUAAGAAGCUUCAUUUGUAAUUAUAUAAAAAAUUGUAAAAUGAUUUGUAAAAGUUGAACUUCUCACCAAAAUUAUAUCCCUGAAGUUAAAUCAAGUGAAAAAAUAGUGUGUUGCAGUGCAGUUACUUGCAAUUGGGACUGAUCUGAUGAAGAAAUUAUUCUGUUAAAAACCUGGCAGAUAGUUUUUCUGCUGGCAAUAUAAUUACACUUGUUUGGAUGUGCUUGUUUUGGAUUAAAUGAUAGAAUGGGUGUUGUACUGUUGUUCUUGAUUUUCUCACUUAUUUAGUAGUGUUUGACGGGCAUUCUAAUCAUCUUUUGAGACCACUUUGGAGAUGGAACCUGAUUGAAAAGCUCGGACUUUCCUAUUAGCAAGAGUAUUUUAUAUCUGACCAUGAAAAUCUGUAAUGCUAUUGUUCCUACAGAUUCAAGAACUCAGAUUUAGUAACACGAUAUAUUUUUAUCAUGCCUCGCUAUGAAAUCAUGUUUGCUUGCAGUGCAAAGGUCAAUUGAGAAUUUGAUAUCCUUUGUGAAGAACUGUAGAUGCUUGCUUGUCGAUUGCCUAGAGAUUUUGUUUCUGAAUAUUUUUGUGUUGGAUCGCAGGAUGUUGCUGAUAUAUGGUUGUGUUUGUUCAAAAAAGUCGUGUUGUGUUACUGAUCAGGAUAUUAGUAUAUCCCAAUCUCAUCACAGGAUCUGUUCACUGGGUUUCUCAAACUAUAUAGCAUUUUAUUAGUUAUGGGUUGGGGCAGUCUUCCUUUUUUCCUCUUGAGAAAACAUUGAAGCUUAAUGUCUUGAUGCAUUUGAAAAAGAGAAUGGGAAAACAAAACAAUUUACUUAAGGGUUACAUGAGUGCCUCUGAAUUUUAAAAAAUGUCAGCAAUAGUUUCCUGUUUUGACUAAGAUUCUUUAUUUUCUUGGGAGCAAGCAUUUUCUGUAAUUCACACCACAACAUGACGGCAUGUGCAUAGAAAAAAACAUCAUUUCGGUAAUCGGAAUAUUAGCUUCGGUAGCCUCAUUUGCAAUUGUGUAUGUCUGUCAGGUUGAUGCCGAGGUAGCUAGCAAAGAUGCAUGAUGCAUAUAUUAUUCAGUACUGUUCUUACUGACGUUUUUCUUUCUGAUGAUAAACCACGGGGAUAAAUUGGCAAUGUAUCUCUUCACCUUCCCGAAUGAGAGCUUCACGGAGGUCCUCCUGGUGUGGGAGAUCAUGAGAGCCUAGAAAUGCAAAUGAGGCUGGAAGGAUUAUUUCGUUGGUGUCCGAGAGCGAAAUAUUUUGUGUUGCAAAGUUAGCCGUGGACCCUGUGUCGGAGCUUUGGGAUGAUGAUCUUGCCGCUACGCUGGUCAUGUGUCAAGCGUAUGCCUUUUACUUUUAAUACACGACAUUUUUGAGGUGCAGGAUUUCUCCAACAGCACUAUACAUAGGGCCUUCCAGACUAUCUCAUAGAUUUUAUCCUGUAAACUCGUGUGAGUUGUUUCAUAUGGUCGAGUGUGAAUGAAUUGCUGGGAUGCCACUUCUGCUGGUUGGGAUGUUGACGGCGUGUGUGCUUUUUGCUGCUGCUAGCAUCUAGAUGAGUAGUACAGUGCACAACUGCAUUAGCUUGGGACGUAUGUGCUUCAAUACUUCUUUUCUGUUGGGCUUUAAUAUUCUACUAAAUUUCUGAUCGAUAAAAAUGUUUGUGGCUACUAUAGUAUAUGUGAAAUAUACAAACAUUUAUUCCUUGUUUUCUUAUCGUCUAAUGUGUUUGACACUUUUUCUUUCAGAUUUACCUCUCUUCUUUGUGCAGCAGGUGCAAGGUCUCAACAUGUUCAAGGCUACUUCCAGCUCUUCUUUUUUCAUUUUCAUCUUAUUUUUGUUCAUGCAUUUUUCUACCAUACAAGGACUUGAGGUGAUUUGUUGGUUGUAGGGCAUGGGGAGCUUCACAAUUAUGUUAGCUCUAUACUGAAUGUAUCAAAACAUUGUUAUGGUUACUUCUUAUUGUUUGGUUACACAAAGUCAUGGCAGCACAAGUUGUAUGUAUAUCUUGAGAUACAUGGUGAUGCGUCUUUGUGAGAUUAAUUGUGAACCCAAUUUAUUGAUGCUUUGACAGUUUCUGAUUUAGUGGCUUACGCUGAAGGUGCAU